UACGUAGGGUGCGAGCGUUGUCCGGAAUUACUGGGCGUAAAGAGCUCGUAGGUGGUGUGUCGCGUCUGCCGUGAAAGCCCGGGGCUUAACUCCGGGUCUGCGGUGGAUACGGGCAGACUAGAGGCAGGUAGGGGAGAACGGAAUUCCCGGUGUAGCGGUGAAAUGCGCAGAUAUCGGGAGGAACAUCAGUGGCGAAGGCGGCCAUCUGGAUCAACACUGACGGCUGAGGCACGAAAGCGUGGGGAGCAAACAGGAUUAGAAACCCGUGGUACGUC
rnacentral:rRNA from 1 species